GGGCCAGCAUGGCUUAGUGGUUUGAGUGUUGGACUACAAUGCUAGAGAUCAGGGUUCAAUUCCCUGCUCCUCCA